rnacentral:rRNA from 1 species
AGAGUUUGAUCCUGGCUUAGGAUGAACGCUAGCUACAGGCUUAACACAUGCAAGUCAAGGGGCAGCAUUAUCGAAGCUUGCUUGAUAGAUGGCGACCGGCGCACGGGUGAGUAACGCGUAUCCAACCUUCCCUAUAGUAGAGAAUAGCCCGGCGAAAGUCGGAUUAAUGCUCUAUGUUGUAUUUAGAAGACAUCUGAAGAAUACCAAAGGUUUACCGCUAUAGGAUGGGGAUGCGUCUGAUUAGGUAGUAGGCGGGGUAACGGCCCACCUAGCCGACGAUCAGUAGGGGUUCUGAGAGGAAGGUCCCCCACAUUGGAACUGAGACACGGUCCAAACUCCUACGGGAGGCAGCAGUGAGGAAUAUUGGUCAAUGGACGAAAGUCUGAACCAGCCAAGUAGCGUGCAGGAUGACGGCCCUAUGGGUUGUAAACUGCUUUUAUAUAGGGAUAAAGUCGGGGACGUGUCCCCGUUUGUAGGUACUAUAUGAAUAAGGACCGGCUAAUUCCGUGCCAGCAGCUGC